rnacentral:lncRNA from 1 species
AGGCUCCAGAUUGUUCUACUCCUGAUGUCAGGAGGAAGCUGAUUUACCUUUGGAAUGAGAUAACCUCUGGGAUCCCUGAACAGUUAAAGGGCAGACGGAAAUAAGGCUUGGCAAUGAAGAUGGACAAGGAACAUAUGCCAGUGCACAUCUAUUAUAAGCCAUUUAUCCCAGACUGUGAUGCAAGUGUGCUUAAGUCUGAAAUGCAAGUGACUCGUACUUACAGGCAAAAUACAUUCCAGCUGAGGAAAAAAGGAUUUUUGUUGCUGAUUUAAUGGAGUGACAGCCUUUCAGAAGUCUUUAAAUUCACCAUUUUCACUGAUGUCACCCUGUUACCAGAAAGGAGUCCUAAUUCUGACCCCAAGAGAAGGUCCUUAAAUCUCGUGCAAGAAAGAUUUCAGGAUUCAAAGAAUUAGCUGGACUAUGUCUCCAGGUGGAUGACUCUAUGGAAACUUUGAGCUGUAUGGAACAACCUCCUGAUCAUCCAUUUACCUUGCUUUGGUACAUUAGGACUUUAAUAGAAACUGCCUAAUGUGCAGGUAAAAAACUAUCAGGACUCAAAACAAGGCCUGUCCAAU